rnacentral:lncRNA from 1 species
GUAGGGAUGAGCUGGUCACAUGGUCACUAUUUCAAGCUCUAUUACAUAUUUCAUGAUAAAAUCGUGAAAUUUAGAUGGAGGUGAAGUUUUCAACUUGCCUGUUUAUAUCACAAGUGUCUGAAACUAAUUAGAUGUCAGAAUAUUUUGAUGUUUGUUAAUGUUUCCAAUAGUGUGGUCAAAUCAGUUAUCUCUAAAUCAAUUUUC